rnacentral:rRNA from 1 species
UGGGGAAUAUUGCACAAUGGGCGGAAGCCUGAUGCAGCGACGCCGCGUGAGGGAUGACGGCCUUCGGGUUGUAAACCUCUUUCAGUAGGGACGAAGCGUAAGUGACGGUACCUGCAGAAGAAGCACCGGCUAACUACGUGCCAGCAGCCGCGGUAAUACGUAGGGUGCGAGCGUUGUCCGGAAUUACUGGGCGUAAAGAGCUCGUAGGCGGUUUGUCACGUCGUCUGUGAAAGCCUAGGGCUUAACCCUGGACGUGCAGGCGAUACGGGCUGACUUGAGUACUACAGGGGAGACUGGAAUUUCUGGUGUAGCGGUGGAAUGCACAGAUAUCAGGAAGAACACCGAUGGCGAAGGCAGGUCUCUGGGUAGUAACUGACGCUGAGGAGCGAAAGCAUGGGUAGCGAACAGG